ensembl:lncRNA
GGAGCAUUGGCUGAGUUGGCAGUGUUAGCAUAUACAGGUUGGUUAUCCACAAUAAUUUGGUGGGAGGCUGAAAUAUUGUUAGUGUUGGGAGUAAACUGCCAUUGUCGGGCUACUUGAUGAGAGGAGGUGCUGGUAGGGUGUCUGAAGAGCUGUGGUUGUGCUACGAAUAGCACCUCAGGUCCUGAGCAAAAGUCUCUGGAUGGGGCCAACAUGGGCUGUCCGCGGGCACAAUGAGAAAACAAGGCUGGCAAAAUGAGGCUAUUUUCAUCUAAAAGUGUACAAGUGAAUAUGUACCAAUUCAUGGGGAAAAAAAAAAAAAAUUAGGACUCUGCAGAGGUCGAGAGUUCAUCAGCAUCUGUCCCUUUUUGGUGUGCAAGGGAGACUGGGAGAAAUGUUUGUCAUUAAGACAGUGUGGGGCUUUGUGGGCUCCUGGGAGCCUCCCCAAUGAUUUCAGCAGACUCCUGAUGUUGCUAUGUGGCCUGUGAUAAUGUCCUCUUCCCCUAUAUCACCCCUACAAUUCUACCCUAAACUCACAACCCCUUUCUGUGUCACCCCAGCCAUUUUCAUCUCCUACCAAUGUGUCUCCUGAAAAGUACUGCUGCUGCGGGGAGGACAACUGUGGUUCAGACAGAAACAGGAGGAAGACAAAAGGGUGAGGUUUGACAUGAAGAAAUAUUCUCCGGAAGGGGGGAUCCCAGGGAUGUCUGCAUGCAAAAAGAUACAAGCCACUGUCUGCAUGAGAACAAGGAAGAUAAUGAGUGGAGUAAGACAAGGAUCAAAGGCAAAGAUAGACCAGACUGCUUGUUUGCCACCCCAGCACCUAGAUGAGCACUGAGGGAGAGGGACGUGUUCAAGGCCAGGCUGGAUGGGACCCUGGGCAGCCUGAGUUGGAAGUGGCUGGAGGCCAGACAUUUUUCUCAGUUGGACAAAUACGCAUGGAUGAAGAUCUUAAUUCCUUGUCCAGAGUCUACUGAAGCCAGGUUAGUGUUUUUUUGUUGUUGUUUCUUUUCUUCUGGAAAGUUACUGAUAUGGAGCACAAUUUUUUUUUUCUUUUUUUAAUCUGUUUUUUUUUCCCCCUGGUGUGGCUUUCUGCCAAGCUAGGAAGGGUGAAAGACCCACAUGCACUCCAUAACACAACCAGCCAGGAAGAAGGAUGUGAAAUUGAGGGUAUUUGUUCAACUCAAAGUCAGAAGGUAUCUUGCUAUGUGCUCUGAUGAUUUUAGGAUAGUUGCUAAACCAUAAUUAGGACCAGUUGAAGGGAACAGUUGCUUUGGACUGCUCUGCUGACUGGGAAUUAGAAGUUGGCUUAGAGAUGAGGUUCAGGAUAUAUUUAAAACAAAACAACAACAACAAAACAACUGCAUUAAAAAAAAAUUCAAAACAACAUUGUUUUUUGAGAUUGUGGCUAUCAGAGUUAGGCAUACACCUAUUUUCAAGGGACCCACCAAAGGCCUCCAGCACAAACCUACUCCUAUUCAACCACUUUGGAUUUAAGCUGGGUGUUUUCCUUCUUGGCCCUCCUCUUUUUUA